CAUGAAACAUACUGGGUGAAUGAGGGCAGAGUGGAGGAUGGAGGGGCAUGAUUAUAAUCUCCAGAGAUAAUAAGAAGGGCAUUUGGACUCUGUGUUAACAGUCUGUUAACAACAGAAUGCAGGACAUUGCAUGCCGAUUCACCGUCAGCAGAGGGGGGAAUAUACACAGCUAUCGCGAUAACAUGCGAGAAUUCCCUGGGCAGAUAGUACAGCCUCAUGCUAGCGGCUAACAGCUCAAUAUCCUUACAGCAGAUCUGCUCUUUAAUAGUGAUGUGACCAGAUUUACACCAUCUAGUAUUCACAAACACUGGCAGACCUCCUCCCUCUCUCUUACCGCUCUCCAUCGUUCUGUCCGUGCGCAGUAAUUCAAAUCCAUCCAGAGUCACGGUCAUAUCCGGUGUUAGCUUGGUUAGCCAUGACUCCAUGAAAAGCAUGAUGCUACACUCCCGGAAUUCCCUUUGAUGCCGGGUAGUUAUUAUUAUAGACAGGAGCAUGACUGAACAGGAGUAGGCAAUGACAUUUUAAAUAGCAAUGACUAUGGACAUUUGUGCUGGAGGUUUUGCUGGUUGGGAAAGAACAGCACAUAUAUAUGUGCUUUAAGUUAUCUGAGGACAUCUGGAUUAUCUACGAUAACGCACGUGGAAGACCUUUCCAGUAUCUUGACUUCAAAAUGCUUUACACCAUGAAUGAUAUUUGGAUCUGCGCUGCCAUAUAUGUAAACACAUCUCAAGCAGAUGAUAAUAAGCACGGCAUCUGUGAGACCAGUCAACUGAUAGAAAAAAAACCUUGGAGAUUAUCAAGACACCAGAAGAUUCUAUCUAACCACCCAAGUCAGGAGGCGAUUCAAGAUCUAGAGACAAUUAUGCAAAAUCUGUCAAUUACUAGUUAUUAAAUGCAAUGUACAUUUGUACAUUUUACAAAUAUACUAUAAUAUCUUAUUAUAUAAUAUUAUAAAUAAUGUAAAAUCUAAUAAAAUAAAAAAAAAAAAAAAGCUCUACUGAUUUCUGUUGUAUUCUACUGUGCUUUUCAGUAUUUAUAAUAGUUCAUAGAUUCAAUUAUAUUAGCAGGAGUGAUCCUUAAGGUUAUACCCUGUUUAUGAUUUUUUGUGCAGUAGGGACCACAGCAUGCUCCUAUCUUACACUAUAUAAACAAUACCUCCCACCAUUGAAUUACUACAUUACAGUGCA